rnacentral:rRNA from 1 species
ACUCAAAUGAAUUGACGGGGGCCCGCACAAGCGGUGGAGCAUGUGGUUUAAUUCGACGAUACGCGAAGAACCUUACCUACUUUUGAAUGUACGGAACCUGACAGAGAUGUCGGGGUGCCGCAAGGAGCCGUAACACAGGUGCUGCAUGGCUGUCGUCAGCUCGUGUCGUGAGAUGUUGGGUUAAGUCCCGUAACGAGCGCAACCCUUAUCCUUAGUUGCUAGCAGGUAAAGCUGAGAACUUUAAGGAGACUGCCGAUGAUAAAUCGGAGGAAGGCGGGGAUGACGUCAAGUCAUCAUGGCCCAUACAAGUAGGGCUACACACGUGCUACAAUGGUCGGUACAAAGGGAAGCAAACCCGCGAGGGGGAGCAAAGCCUAUAAAAGCCGAUCUUAGUCCGGAUUGAAGUCUGCAACUCGACUUCAUGAAGCUGGAAUCGCUAGUAAUCGUGGAUCAGAACGCCACGGUGAAUACGUUCCCGGGCCUUGUACACACCGCCCGU